GAUGAACGCUGGCGGCGUGCCUAAUACAUGCAAGUCGAGCGAACGGACGAGAAGCUUGCUUCUCUGAUGUUAGCGGCGGACGGGUGAGUAACACGUGGAUAACCUACCUAUAAGACUGGGAUAACUACGGGAAACCGUAGCUAAUACCGGAUAAUAUUUUGAACCGCAUGGUUCAAAAGUGAAAGACGGUCUUGCUGUCACUUAUAGAUGGAUCCGCGCUGCAUUAGCUAGUUGGUAAGGUAACGGCUUACCAAGGCAACGAUGCAUAGCCGACCUGAGAGGGUGAUCGGCCACACUGGAACUGAGACACGGUCCAGACUCCUACGGGAGGCAGCAGUAGGGAAUCUUCCGCAAUGGGCGAAAGCCUGACGGAGCAACGCCGCGUGAGUGAUGAAGGUCUUCGGAUCGUAAAACUCUGUUAUUAGGGAAGAACAUAUGUGUAAGUAACUGUGCACAUCUUGACGGUACCUAAUCAGAAAGCCACGGCUAACUACGU
rnacentral:rRNA from 1 species